GAUGAACGCUAGCUACAGGCUUAACACAUGCAAGUCGAGGGGCAGCAUGGACUCAGCUUUGCUGAGUUUGAUGGCGACCGGCGCACGGGUGAGUAACGCGUAUCCAACCUGCCCUUUACUCCGGGAUAGUCUCCUGAAAGGGAGUUUAAUACCGGAUGUGUUUGUUUUUCCGCAUGGGAGCGACAAAUAAAGAUUAAUUGGUAAAGGAUGGGGAUGCGUCCCAUUAGCUUGUUGGCGGGGUAACGGCCCACCAAGGCAACGAUGGGUAGGGGUUCUGAGAGGAAGGUCCCCCACAUUGGAACUGAGACACGGUCCAAACUCCUACGGGAGGCAGCAGUGAGGAAUAUUGGUCAAUGGGCGAGAGCCUGAACCAGCCAAGUAGCGUGAAGGACGACGGCCCUACGGGUUGUAAACUUCUUUUAUAAGGGAAUAAAGUUCGCCACGUGUGGUGUUUUGUAUGUACCUUAUGAAUAAGCA
rnacentral:rRNA from 1 species